GACGAACGCUGGCGGCGUGCUUAACACAUGCAAGUCGAACGGAAAGGCCCCCACCUUGGUGGGGGUGCUCGAGUGGCGAACGGGUGAGUAACACGUGGGUGAUCUGCCCUGUACUUCGGGAUAAGCUUGGGAAACUGGGUCUAAUACCGGAUAGGACCAUGGUUUAGUGUCUCAUGGCGGAAAAAUUAUUGUUUUGGUGCAGGAUGAGCUCGCGGCCUAUCAGCUUGUUGGUGGGGUAAUGGCCUACCAAGGCGUCGACGGGUAGCCGGCCUGAGAGGGUGGACGGCCACAUUGGGACUGAGAUACGGCCCAGACUCCUACGGGAGGCAGCAGUGGGGAAUAUUGCACAAUGGGCGCAAGCCUGAUGCAGCGACGCCGCGUGGGGGAUGACGGCCUUCGGGUUGUAAACUCCUUUCGUUAGGGACGAAGCCACACCUUUUUUGGGUGUGGUGACGGUACCUUUGUUAAGAAGCACCGGCUAACUACGUG
rnacentral:rRNA from 1 species